AGCUGGUGGCAAGGACAACUUCUUCCACUGUGAACUGGUAGCAUUGAUACUCUACUUAUCAAUGGAUCGAUAUAUUAGGCCGGCUGCCUUUGCUCUGAUCGACAGGUCCAUGACAUCUCGCUGAACCACUACUGGAUGUGGCGUCGACGAAGCACUACACCUAGCUUGCUCGCCGGCGCGCGCGUGUGUGCUUUGAUGCGCGUCACUUCGUCGAGCUGGCUGGACCGCGACAAUCACCGGAGCCGGAGCUGGAGGAGGCGACGAGAUGCUAUUGCUGCGGCUGCGUCCUCGGAGGCAGCAGCUGCCCCUCGCCGACCUCGCCAACCUCCGGUGUCCGCCAUGUGCUCUGCGUAGGACCCCUUCUACAUCGUCCAGGAGGAGAUCCAGGGCUGGGUAAUCCCCCCAUCCCCUUCCGCCCUCCCUCCCUCCCCGGUGCCCCUUUCUCUUCCUCUGGUUGCGAAUUUUGAUAUGCUGCCGCUGUUUAUUUGGCUGCGCCAUGGCGUACUGUCAGCUGAAAACUGGUUCUUUAUUUUCUACUCCAGUACUGUAUGGAGUAGUAUAUAAGGACGUCUUACUGUAGUAUGGCUAAGGCAGUGACCAGCUUGGUAGUUAGUACUAGCUGAGAAAAUUCAUGAUGCUGGCUGGGAGCAAAAAAUUUAUAGGCUUAGUUGCUGUAUUGGUUCUGUAGUUGUAUGGGGAUAUAUGCAUAGAUAUGUAACGUGUGGGUUCCAAGCAUGUUUCCGAGAUUUUUUUUAAUUUUUUUGGCUCUUGCAACACUUGGAUUAUUUAUUAAUAUAACCCAGCAGCGAUGCUUCCAUUUUAACACAUGUACUAGUGUGCUAAAACUACUACUGUACCUACUUCUUCUUAGCCUGAGUAGUACAUCAGGCUUGUAUUAACUUGUGUUAAUUGUAUUAACUUGUAGCCUAUUCACUGCAGUCAUCUUGUGCUUUUAUCUUCUCUAUGAUGCCAUUUGCCUUUGAGUCUACUCAUUGAAUACCUUAUGCUCACAUAUAUUUUUAGUCCCUCUAUUUCCAUAAAUGUGACACUGUUUUGUUUCUAAAUACUUGACACAUACAAGUUUGAGGGCAUUAUCCUAAACCCUUGCUAUGAUUGAUCCAUCUCCUCUACUUUGUUACUUGUGCUUAAUUGAGAUGUUACUCAAGGGUAGUGUUUGGGCCAGCAUAUAUAAAUCAUAUGGUCGCUUACUUUAAUAUGUGUGUUGACUCAAAACUGUCAAAAUAUCUAGAAAGAGAGUGAACUCACUUAACAGAUUCUUUCAAUCUUCAAUGGUUAUGGUUUUUGCAUUAUAGAUUCUUAAUCUCGGCUGAUUCCAGAUUCUUCCAAGUGCUAGCUAGCUCCAAAAGCAAAUCGUCUUCAUUUGGAAGAUGCAACAUUCUACCAGAAUCCAUUCUCCUGCUCUUUUUCUUGUACUGUAUGUCAUCCAUUGUUCAACCCUGUUGGCUGCUGGUGGAUGUGGUGGUGAUCCUCCUGUUAGGAGGUAGAGGAUGUGAGCUGAGCUGCUGUCUGGUCGAGGAAGAAAGUCACUGUCUUUACUAGUGAAACAAAUUGCUGCGGCAGCCAUGCUUGUGAGCUUAUGAUGUGCCUCUAGUUUAGUUUGUCGGUUUAUGUGAAUCGUUCUCUAUGAUGUAUGAUGUAUUGCUGCUGUUAGCUGUAAAUGUGAUGUAUGAUGAGUU